rnacentral:lncRNA from 1 species
UCUAAAGUGGCUCUGACGCGACAGCGGGCGACAGUCGGCUCCCUUCCCAGCGAUUAGGUUUUUUUCUCUGGCGGGGGGUCUGGCUGCUAGGGUUAGGGUUUAGUGUGAAGAUUAUUAUUUAUAUCCGUCGCAAUUUGAUAUGGGCUAUCUAUCGCGUUUGAUCUUAACAGUCCGAUUGCAUUUAAAUAGAAAAUGAAUAAGGGUCAUUCAUCGCAAUUUGAUAUGGGUCG